CAGAAAAAUCAGAAGUAAAGAUGAUGAGUUCAAGAAUAUUCUCUGUUAUUGCUGUAAUCGGCAUGAUUUUCGUAUGCAGCAUCAGAGCUGAUGGCCUUUAUGAUAAUUAUUUGGGCAAUGUUCAUCUAGUACCUUUAGCAUACCCAGUUCCACACCCUAUCAGUGCUCCUCCUCAAGGACUCGGAAGUGUAGCAGGAAAUCGGUUAAAUUUACAAUCAGACCAGUCUCUUCUAAUUUUCCUAUUUUUGUUACCAGUUCUCUUCAGAAUUCUCAACAACGACUCAUCAUAAUGGACGAACGGCUCGGAUCGUCCUAAAUGACAUUUUAACAGCAAAUCAAUUCUUUGGAUCAAAGUUUGUGGCAGAUAUGAUAAUCUGAGUAGAAUUGUUAUACUGGUUUCCUGAUUUUUCUGAUUUAGUGAAGAAACAUUAUAGAGGUUACCAGGUUGUUGUGAUUUUGUAGAUUGAAGGAGCUGCAGUGAGUGAUUGACAUGGUAGUUAGUAUAAGUGACAAAAUGGUUUCUGAAGUGUAAAAAAAGAAGCAGCAGUAUAGGUAGUGAGAUUGACAUUACAACUUAGUCAAGCAAAGUCAUAUCUUAAAUAAUAAAUGCUGAUUUACCAAAAUUG